CGUUUCUUACCUAACAUUAUAUAAGUGUCGAAACGCUGACUUCCAUUGCGAUAUCUCCGCAAGAACAGGGUGUCUUUGCUUCGCGUCUCUUGAUAUGAAUUUAUUAUGUAAUUCCAGACAUAGAUGAUCAAAUUUUAGCAAGAUUAUAAUCUGGCCUGUAACUACAACAAAAUCUUUAUAAUGUAUUAGUUUAAUCGUAUAAAAGAAUUAAUCGUUAUUCAGAGAUCAAAAACUUUAUUGAAUUACAGAACGUGUUAUCUCAACGAGAAAGAUUAAUUAAGUAAAAAGAAUCACAGUGACAAAUAAAUGAUACUGUUAAAGAUGUAACAUAGCAACUAAAUUUAUUAUGUUUCUAACAUUAGCAUGAUCAUUCAUUUAUGCAAAGCUCAUGCAAAGCUAUGUUACGUUACACAUGCAAACUAAAUCCCGUAUUAACUAUUUGCAGUCUUGUUUUCAAUAGGUAUUAUAUGAUACAGUUCUGUAUGAAAUGUUUAUAAUUUUAUGUAUUUAAAACUUUUUAAGGAAUAAUGAUAGAAACACGCUAAUUUUUAUUUAAAAAAAUUCACAGUAAAGCUAGAAUAAUGUAAGGAAUGAGUUACCAGAAUUUUGUUUUUGCCACUGAGAAUGAGAUGUUAAAUAAAUUUAAUAUAAUAUAAGGCAAUAAACUGUGAAAUUUUAUUCUUUGUUACAUUUUUUAAUAUUGGACCGAUAAGCACAAUCGAGUAAAAAAUUUUCCUAAUGCUUGCUAUAUAGUAAUAUAGUUUUUUAUCAUUAUUGAUAGAUUCUAUUAUUAACACCAUAUUGGAUAUUUUUACUUUAUUAAGCACAAAAUGUACCAAAAUAGUCUUUAUUUUUCUUGUAUGUUAACUGUUACUGUCUUAUUAUACAUAUUAAUAUAUAUCUCUGUGAUAAUAAUAACUUGACUGCAGGAACAAAAAGCUUGAUAUACCACACGAGUUUUUCAAGAACGUGAAGAGUAAACAAUAUAUCAACGUAACUGAGAUUAUUGAGAUAUUUUCCUUGAUUUUGUCUUAGACAAAUGAUUAUAAAAAGCUUGACCAAUUAUUGUACUCUAUCUUUCAGAAUUCACAGCAGCAGAUAUUAUUAAGUAUUGCUCAUAUAGAGCAACCAGAGAAGUUUCAGACUAAACCAACAAUUACUAUAGAAGAACUCACAGAUUUUGCGGGAGGACAAGUAUAGACC
rnacentral:lncRNA from 13 species